rnacentral:rRNA from 1 species
UAGGGAAUCUUCCACAAUGGACGCAAGUCUGAUGGAGCAACGCCGCGUGAGUGAAGAAGGUUUUCGGAUCGUAAAGCUCUGUUGUUGGUGAAGAAGGAUAGAGGCAGUAACUGGUCUUUAUUUGACGGUAAUCAACCAGAAAGUCACGGCUAACUACGUGCCAGCAGCCGCGCUAAUACGGAGGUGGCAAGCGUUGUCCGGUUUUAUUGGGCGUAAAGCGAGCGCAGGCGGAAUGAUAAGUCUGAUGUGAAAUCCCACGGCUCAACCGUGGAACUGCAUCGGAAACUGUCAUUCUUGAGUGCAGAAGAGGAGAGUGGAAUUCCAUGUGUAGCGGUGGAAUGCGUAGAUAUAUGGAAGAACACCAGUGGCGAAGGCGGCUCUCUGGUCUGCAACUGACGCUGAGGCUCGAAAGCAUGGGUAGCGAACAGG